UCACAUCGUCGGUCUUACUUUACUUGUCAUAUGUUCGUUUAUAAAAUAACAUCUGUUUAUUAUGGUCUUGUGGACUUUCUUCACAUCGUCGGUCUUACUUGUCAUAUCGUUUAAACAUCUGUUCGUUAUAUCGGUUUACGGUUUCGUCGGUUUUCCGUUAUCGUUCACUACAUCGACUGUUCGAAAUAAUUUCGUUCCUCCAUCGUUUUUUCUAAUUCGGCCAUCGUUUUGUUUGUUCGAAAAUUUUCGGGAAAUAGUGCGAGAUGUGUGAAUUUGAUUAUCAAAGAUAUUUAUAAAAUGUGUUAUUAUUGUAAGUUUUGUGAAAACAGUGCGGGUUGUCCACUUCCAUGGCAAUUUGGUUCACGAGUGUUUGUUAAUUCUAUAAGCUAAUGUUUCCUUAAACAUGGACUUCUCGCUAUAUUGUGACAAUUGGUUUUCAUUCCUUUGAAUUUUGAACAUAACCUAUUUUCCAUAUUUUCCAUAUCCAUUCUCAUUCUGGUUUUGUAUUCUUUGUCAACUCUUCAAUAGAAGGAAUCGAAAUUGAUAUUGAAGACAUUCUGGUUUUGUUCUGUUCGAAAUUGAUAUUGAGGACAAUCUUCCCCACUUGGUGUUGGAUGAAAGGGGAUGGGAUUGUAACAACUAAAAUUGCCUGUGUCAGAAGUCUUCUCAAACUCUUUCAACAUUGAAAAAUGUAUGCACCGUAAAAGAAUUGGAGCAGGGUUCGAUUUGCCUGUCCAGCAUCAGAAGUCUUCACAAACUCUGACAAAAUUGAAAAAUGUAUGCACCAUGAGGAAUUGAAGCGUGGUUUGAUUUGCCUGUUCAGCGUCAGGUCUUCUCAAACUCUGGCAUCGUUGAAAAAUGUAUGCACCAUAGAGGAAUUGGAGCGUGGUUUGAUUUGCCUGUUCAGCGUUAGGUCUUCUCAAACUCUGACAUCGUUGAAAAACAUAUGCACCGUGGAGGAUAUGCAUUGGAGUGGGGUUUGAUAAUAAAUGAACCACCUCGCGGUCAUACUAAAAUGGAUGAAUCUCUCUCCCAAUUUAUUGAAUUUCAUCACUAUCCCUGCUUCCAACUGGAUAGAAGAAGAGGAAAUGCUGAAGAGGAAAAAGGGUACGAUGUCCUGAACAACAAGAUUUUUGGCUCUGAUAGAAUGGAAUCAACAUUGACAUCAAGGACAAUCUUUCACACUUGAUGCUACAUGAAAAGAAUGGGAUUGUGUCGGGGCCAGGCGGCUGGGAAAGUCUCCCAAAUUCGUCCAGCGUCAGAAGAUUUCUCAAACAAAUAGGAAAAAAAAUUGUACAUCCGUCCCACCAUCAGCAUUACGGCUACCUCAUCUACAAUUUAUGCAAAAUUCUCAGGAGUUUCUAUGGUGCAAUCUAACCUUGCUUGAUGGAAAU